rnacentral:rRNA from 1 species
UUUUGGACAAUGGGCGAAAGCCUGAUCCAGCAAUGCCGCGUGCAGGAAGAAGGCCUUCGGGUUGUAAACUGCUUUUGUACGCCCACGAAACGGUCUGCCCUAAUACGGUGGGCUAAUGACGGUACCGUAAGAAUAAGCACCGGCUAACUACGUGCCAGCAGCCGCGGUAAUACGUAGGGUGCGAGCGUUAAUCGGAAUUACUGGGCGUAAAGCGUGCGCAGGCGGUUCUAUAAGACAGAUGUGAAAUCCCCGGGCUCAACCUGGGAAUGGCAUUUGUGACUGUAGAGCUAGAGUACGGUAGAGGGGGAUGGAAUUCCGCGUGUAGCAGUGAAAUGCGUAGAUAUGCGGAGGAACACCGAGGCGAAGGCAAUCCCCGACCUGUACUGACGCUCAUGCACGAAA